UGGGGAAUAUUGCACAAUGGGCGCAAGCCUGAUGCAGCCAUGCCGCGUGUGUGAAGAAGGCCUUCGGGUUGUAAAGCACUUUCAGCGAGGAGGAAGGUGGUGAGCUUAAUACGCUCAUCAAUUGACGUUACUCGCAGAAGAAGCACCGGCUAACUCCGUGCCAGCAGCCGCGGUAAUACGGAGGGUGCAAGCGUUAAUCGGAAUUACUGGGCGUAAAGCGCACGCAGGCGGUUUGUUAAGUCAGAUGUGAAAUCCCCGGGCUCAACCUGGGAACUGCAUUUGAAACUGGCAAGCUAGAGUCUCGUAGAGGGGGGUAGAAUUCCAGGUGUAGCGGUGAAAUGCGUAGAGAUCUGGAGGAAUACCGGUGGCGAAGGCGGCCCCCUGGACGAAGACUGACGCUCAGGUGCGAAAGCGUGGGGCAGCAAACAGGAUUAGAUACCCUGGUAGUCCACGCUGUAAAACGAUGUCGAUUUUGGAGGUUGUGCCCUUGAGGCGUGGCUUCCGGAGCUAACGCGUUAAAGUCGACCGCCUGGGGAGU
rnacentral:rRNA from 1 species